rnacentral:rRNA from 1 species
CCUACGGGAGGCAGCAGUGAGGAAUAUUGGUCAAUGGACGCGAGUCUGAACCAGCCAAGUAGCGUGAAGGAUGACUGCCCUAUGGGUUGUAAACUUCUUUUAUAAAGGGAUAAAACGAGGCACGUGUGCCUUUUUGCAUGUACUUUAUGAAUAAGGAUCGGCUAACUCCGUGCCAGCAGCCGCGGUAAUACGGAGGAUCCGAGCGUUAUCCGGAUUUAUUGGGUUUAAAGGGAGCGUAGAUGGGUUGUUAAGUCAGUUGUGAAAGUUUGCGGCUCAACCGUAGAAUUGCAAUUGAUACUGGCAGUCUUGAGUACAGAUGAGGUAGGCGGAAUUCGUGGUGUAGCGGUGAAAUGCUUAGAUAUCACGAAGAACCCCGAUUGCGAAGGCAGCUUACUAAACUGUGACUGACAUUGAUGCUCGAAAGUGUGGGUAUCGAACAGGAUUAGAUACCCGUGUAGUC